AUUGAACGCUGGCGGCAUGCCUUACACAUGCAAGUCGAACGGCAGCGGGGGAGAAGCUUGCUUUUCCUGCCGGCGAGUGGCGAACGGGUGAGUAAUACAUCGGAACGUGCCCUGUAGUGGGGGAUAACUAGUCGAAAGAUUAGCUAAUACCGCAUACGACCUGAGGGUGAAAGUGGGGGACCGCAAGGCCUCAUGCUAUAGGAGCGGCCGAUGUCUGAUUAGCUAGUUGGUGGGGUAAAGGCCUACCAAGGCGACGAUCAGUAGCUGGUCUGAGAGGACGAUCAGCCACACGGGGACUGAGACACGGCCCAGACUCCUACGGGAGGCAGCAGUGGGGAAUUUUGGACAAUGGGCGAAAGCCUGAUCCAGCAGUGCCGCGUGUGUGAAGAAGGCCUUCGGGUUGUAAAGCACUUUUGUCCGGAAAGAAAUGGCUCUGGUUAAUACCUGGGGUCGAUGACGGUACCGGAAGAAUAAGGACCGGCUAACUACGUGCCAGCAGCCGCCGUAA
rnacentral:rRNA from 1 species